CCUACGGACGGCUGCAGUGAGGAAUAUUGGUCAAUGGACGCGAGUCUGAACCAGCCAAGUAGCGUGAAGGAUGACUGCCCUAUGGGUUGUAAACUUCUUUUAUAUGGGAAUAAAAUGAGCCACGUGUGGCUUUUUGUAUGUACCAUAUGAAUAAGGAUCGGCUAACUCCGUGCCAGCAGCCGCGGUAAUACGGAGGAUCCGAGCGUUAUCCGGAUUUAUUGGGUUUAAAGGGAGCGUAGGUGGAUUGUUAAGUCAGUUGUGAAAGUUUGCGGCUCAACCGUGAAAUUGCAUUUGAUACUGGCAGUCUUGAGUACAGUUGAGGUAGGCGGAAUUCGUGGUGUAGCGGUGAAAUGCUUAGAUAUCACGAAGAACUCCGAUUGCGAAGGCAGCUCACUAAACUGCAACUGACACUGAGGCUCGAAAGUGUGGGUAGCAAACAGGAUUAGAUACCCGAGUAGUC
rnacentral:rRNA from 1 species